UGAAAUGGUCCGGGCUAAAGAAAAGCUCUGAUUAAAUGGGGCUCAGAGCCCCGUCUGGCAAACAGCUGUGCUGAUAAAGUGCAGAGCACCUGGCACUGCAGCACGGGGAAGAAGAACAAGAACAUGAGCAGGAGGAGGAGGAGGAGGAGGAGGAGGAGGAGAAGAAGAAGAAAAAAGAGAAGGAAGAGAAGGAAGAGGAGGAGCAAGAGGAGGAGCAGGAAUUAAUAGCUGAAGCUGGGUGGGAUGGGAAUUCCCAAACUAGCAGCAUCGCUGUGUCUUUCUCCUGACAGUCCACAGCCAGAGCCUGAAGGAUGAAGGCACCUUGAAAAACAGUGGGAUAACAAGUUUGUAAUCCUUUUCAUGAAAUAAAGAAAUUGUUUCAUGGCAUCACAGGAAUAGGACUCUAUGAGGAUCUCCAUUGAAGUCACAGUUGUUUUUUUAAUUGGAGAGCUCUGCUCCAACCUCCUACCCCUCCAACACAGAUGUUGUACUCCAAAGGACAAAGGAUCUGUCAGAGACCUCCCUGAAUCUACCCAAGCUGGGCAUUGGCUCUAAACACAUCUCCCAGGCUUCUUCUUCAUCAGGAGAAAGACGAAGGCACCUCCAGAAGGGACAAGAGCAUAGGGUGAUUGAAUCAGGGAGGAAUGUCAACGGAAAAGCUGACUGAAUGUUAAAAAACAUUGCUAUUUCCUGAAGUCUCUGUUGAGUUAGUUGUAACUCAGCCCUUACACUGACAAAACUAAUACUGAAGUUGAUUUAUUUAAGAACACACUACCUGGAUACAGCAUUUCUGUUAUUUUCCCUGAUGCUCUGCUCUUAUCUCAGUAAAAUCUAUGUAUUUCAGUACAGUAGCAGUAUUGCAG
rnacentral:lncRNA from 1 species